GCAGAUGGGGCUGCAGAACCUGAUGGUGGGGAUGUGGAAGGCUGGGCUCCAGCCUAGCCCCGCAGUAUCCCCCACCCAGGCUGUCGCUGCUGGUGGAAGAGGAAGAAUCAUCUGCUGUUGCAGCAUAGAGAAGGCGACCAGAGCUAGUGGAAAGGCGGAGGUGCUGAUGCCGGGCACCCUCCUCCGGCUCCCCGGGGCGCUGGGUGUGCUUAAAGGAUCUUGGCAAUGAGUAGUAGGAGAGGACUGGCUUGUGCUGGGGGUCCUCAGGGCCGUAGUAGCAGUCGGAGGGGCUGCUGGUGUUGGAGUCCCCCACUGGUGACAUGUUC
rnacentral:lncRNA from 1 species